UACGUAGGGGGCAAGCGUUGUCCGGAAUCAUUGGGCGUAAAGAGCGCGUAGGCGGCCCUGUAAGUCCGCUGUGAAAGUCAAGGGCUCAACCCUUGGAUGCCGGUGGAUACUGCAGGGCUAGAGUCCGGAAGAGGCGAGUGGAAUUCCUGGUGUAGCGGUGAAAUGCGCAGAUAUCAAGGAGGAACACCAAUAGCGAAGGCAGCUCGCUGGGACGUUACUGACACUGAGGCGCGAAAGCGUGGGGAGCGAAUGGG
rnacentral:rRNA from 1 species